rnacentral:rRNA from 1 species
UACGUAGGUGGCAAGCGUUUGUCCGGAAUUAUUGGGCGUAAAGCGCGCGCAGGCGGUCCUUUAAGUCUGAUGUGAAAGCCCACGGCUCAACCGUGGAGGGUCAUUGGAAACUGGGGGACUUGAGUGCAGAAGAGGAAAGCGGAAUUCCACGUGUAGCGGUGAAAUGCGUAGGGAUGUGGAGGAACACCAGUGGCGAAGGCGGCUUUCUGGUCUGUAACUGACGCUGAGGCGCGAAAGCGUGGGGAGCAAACAGG